rnacentral:rRNA from 1 species
UACAGAGGUCUCAAGCGUUGUUCGGAAUCACUGGGCGUAAGGCGUGCGUAGGCUGUUUCGUAAGUCGUGUGUGAAAGGCGCGGGCUCAACCCGCGGACGGCACAUGAUACUGCGAGACUAGAGUAAUGGAGGGGGAACCGGAAUUCUCGGUGUAGCAGUGAAAUGCGUAGAUAUCGAGAGGAACACUCGUGGCGAAGGCGGGUUCCUGGACAUUAACUGACGCUGAGGCACGAAGGCCAGGGGAGCGAAAGGG